rnacentral:rRNA from 1 species
GCUCAACCGAGGAAGUGCUUCGAAAACUGGUAAACUUGAGUGCAGAAGAGGAAAGUGGAACUCCAUGUGUAGCGGUGGAAUGCGUAGAUAUAUGGAAGAACACCGGUGGCGAAGGCGGCUUUCUGGUCUGUAACUGACGCUGAGAUUCGAAAGCAUGGGUAGCAAACAGGAUUAGAUACCCUGGUAGUCCAUGCCGUAAACGAUGAGUGCUAAGUGUUGGAGGGUUUCCGCCCUUCAGUGCUGCAGCUAACGCAUUAAGCACUCCGCCUGGGGAGUACGACCGCAAGGUUGAAACUCAAAGGAAUUGACGGGGGCCCGCACAAGCGGUGGAGCAUGUGGUUUAAUUCGAAGCAACGCGAAGAACCUUACCAGGUCUUGACAUACCAUGAAAAGCUUAGAGAUAAGUCUUUCCCUUCGGGGACAUGGAUACAGGUGGUGCAUGGUUGUCGUCAGCUCGUGUCGUGAGAUGUUGGGUUAAGUCCCGCAACGAGCGCAACCCUUAUUAUCAGUUGCCAGCAUUCAGUUGGGCACUCUGGUGAGACUGCCGGUGACAAACCGGAGGAAGGUGGGGACGACGUCAAAUCAUCAUGCCCCUUAUGACCUGGGCUACACACGUGCUACAAUGGUCGGUACAACG